rnacentral:rRNA from 1 species
AGUCGAACGAAGGCUUCGGCCUUAGUGGCGCACGGGUGCGUAACGCGUGGGAAUCUGCCCUCAGGUUCGGAAUAACAGCGAGAAAUUGUUGCUAAUACCGGAUGAUAUCGUAAGAUCAAAGAUUUAUCGCCUGAGGAUGAGCCCGCGUAGGAUUAGCUAGUUGGUGUGGUAAAGGCGCACCAAGGCGACGAUCCUUAGCUGGUCUGAGAGGAUGAUCAGCCACACUGGGACUGAGACACGGCCCAGACUCCUACGGGAGGCAGCAGUGGGGAAUAUUGGACAAUGGGCGAAAGCCUGAUCCAGCAAUGCCGCGUGAGUGAUGAAGGCCUUAGGGUUGUAAAGCUCUUUUACCCGGGAUGAUAAUGACAGUACCGGGAGAAUAAGCUCCGGCUAACUCCGUGCCAGCAGCCGCGGUAAUACGGAGGGAGCUAGCGUUAUUCGGAAUUACUGGGCGUAAAGCGCACGUAGGCGGCUUUGUAAGUUAGAGGUGAAAGCCUGGAGCUCAACUCCAGAAUUGCCUUUAAGACUGCAUCGCUUGAAUCCAGGAGAGGUGAGUGGAAUUCCGAGUGUAGAGGUGAAAUUCGUAGAUAUUCGGAAGAACACCAGUGGCGAAGGCGGCUCACUGGACUGGUAUUGACGCUGAGGUGCGAAAGCGUGGGGAGCAAA